rnacentral:rRNA from 1 species
CCUACGGGAGGCAGCAGUGGGGAAUAUUGCGCAAUGGGCGAAAGCCUGACGCAGCGACGCCGCGUGAGGGAUGAAGGUCUUCGGAUCGUAAACCUCUGUCAGCAGGGAAGAACGGUCACUGUGCUAAUCAGCAGUGAAUUGACGGUACCUGCAAAGGAAGCACCGGCUAACUCCGUGCCAGCAGCCGCGGUAAUACGGAGGGUGCGAGCGUUAAUCGGAAUUACUGGGCGUAAAGCGCUCGUAGGCGGGAUGUCAAGUCAAGGGUGAAAUCCGCGCGCCCAACGUUGGAACUGCCUUUGAAACUGGCAAACUUGAGUGUGUGAGAGGAUAGUGGAAUUCGAGGUGUAGGGGUGAAAUCCGUAGAUAUCUGGAAGAACAUCAGUGGCGAAGGCGACUAUCUGGCACAUAACUGACGCUGAGGAGCGAAAGCGUGGGUAGCAAACAGGAUUAGAUACCCUGGUAGUC